rnacentral:rRNA from 1 species
GACGAACGCUGGCGGCGUGCUUAACACAUGCAAGUCGAACGGAAAGGCCCUGCUUUUGUGGGGUGCUCGAGUGGCGAACGGGUGAGUAACACGUGAGUAACCUGCCCUUGACUUUGGGAUAACUUCAGGAAACUGGGGCUAAUACCGGAUAGGAUCUCCUGCUGCAUGGUGGGGGUUGGAAAGUUUCGGCGGUUGGGUAUGGACUCGCGGGUUAUCAGCUUGUUGGUGGGGUAGUGGCUUACCAAGGCUUUGACGGGUAGCCGGCCUGAGAGGGUGACCGGCCACAUUGGGACUGAGAUACGGCCCAGACUCCUACGGGAGGCAGCAGUGGGGAAUAUUGCACAAUGGGCGGAAGCCUGAUGCAGCAACGCCGCGUGCGGGAUGACGGCCUUCGGGUUGUAAACCGCUUUCGCCUGUGACGAAGCGUGAGUGACGGUAAUGGGUAAAGAAGCACCGGCUAACUACGUG